UACGGAGGGUGCGAGCGUUGUCCGGAUUUAUUGGGUUUAAAGGGCUCGUAGGUGGCGCGCUAAGUCAGACGUGAAAUCCCUCGGCUUAACCCGGGGAACUGCGUCUGAUACUGGCAGGCUUGAAUCCGGGAGAGGGACGUGGAAUUCCAGGUGUAGCGGUGAAAUGCGUAGAUAUCUGGAGGAACACCGGUGGCGAAGGCGGCGUCCUGGACCGGUAUUGACGCUGAGGAGCG
rnacentral:rRNA from 1 species